rnacentral:rRNA from 1 species
GAUUUCUGGUACGACAUGUCUGGCCCGCCAGGGUUACCUGCGUGAGUGCCGGCGCGUGUCUGCCAUCCUUCUAGAAAACGGCCUUACCCUUCACUGGGCGGAGGUCGCGAUCUAGAUCUUUUACUUUGAAAAAAUUAGAGUGUUUAAAGCAGGCUUACGCUAUGAAUACAUUAGCAUGGAAUAAUAAUUUAGGACUUCGUCUCUAUUUUGUUGGUUUCUAGAAAUGAAGUAAUGAUUGAUAGGGAUAGUUGGGGGUGCUAGUAUUCAACGGCCAGAGGUGAAAUUCUUGGAUUCGUUGAAGACUAACUUAUGCGAAAGCAUU